AGUGAACGCUGGCGGCGUGCCUAACACAUGCAAGUCGAACGAUGAUGGAGAGCUUGCUCUCCUGAUUAGUGGCGCACGGGUGAGUAUACCAUAGAUAAUGUACCCCUUAGUUCGGGAUAGCCACUGGAAACGGUGAUUAAUACCGGGUACUCCUUCUUGUCAAAAGGCAAGUCGGGAAAGUUUUUUCGCUAAGGGAUCAGUCUAUGUCCUAUCAGCUAGUUGGUGAGGUAAUGGCUCACCAAGGCUAUGACGGGUAUCUGGUUUGAGAGGAUGAUCAGACACACUGGAACUGAGACACGGUCCAGACUCCUACGGGAGGCAGCGGUGAGGAAUAUUGCACAAUGGAGGAAACUCUGAUGCAGCAACGCCGCGUGGAGGAUGACGCAUUUCGGUGUGUAAACUCCUUUUAAGAGGGAAGAUUAUGACGGUACCUCUUGAAUAAGCACCGGCUAACUCCGUGCCAGCAGCCGCAGUAA
rnacentral:rRNA from 1 species